UGGGGAAUAUUGGACAAUGGGGGCAACCCUGAUCCAGCGAUGCCGCGUGGGUGAAGAAGGCCUUCGGGUUGUAAAGCCCUUUAGGUUGGGAAGAAGUGUGUUGCAGGAAAUGGCAAUGCAUUGACGGUACCGACAGAAUAAGCACCGGCAAACUCUGUGCCAGCAGCCGCGGUAAUACAGAGGGUGCGAGCGUUAAUCGGAAUUACUGGGCGUAAAGGGCGCGUAGGCGGUUAUAUGAGUGUGAUGUGAAAGCCCCGGGCUUAACCUGGGAAGUGCAUCGCAAACGAUAUAACUGGAGUAGAUGAGAGGGUGGCGGAAUUUCCGGUGUAGCGGUGAAAUGCGUAGAGAUCGGAAGGAACGUCGAUGGCGAAGGCAGCCACCUGGCAUCAUACUGACGCUGAGGCGCGAAAGCGUGGGUAGCGAACAGG
rnacentral:rRNA from 1 species